rnacentral:rRNA from 1 species
GACGAACGCUGGCGGCGUGCUUAACACAUGCAAGUCGAGCGGUAAGGCCCUUUCGGGGGUACACGGAGCGGCGAACGGGUGAGUAACACGUGGGUGACCUGCCCUCAGCUCUGGGAUAAGCCUGGGAAACUGGGUCUAGUACUGGAUAUGACUCCACGGUGCAUGUCGUGGGGUGGAAAGCCUUGUGCGGCUGAGGAUGGGCCCGCGGCCUAUCAGCUUGUUGGUGGGGUGANGGCCUACCAAGGCGACGACGGGUAGCCGGCCUGAGAGGGCGACCGGCCACACUGGGACUGAGACACGGCCCAGACUCCUACGGGAGGCAGCAGUGGGGAAUCUUGCGCAAUGGGCGAAAGCCUGACGCAGCGACGCCGCGUGAGGGAUGAC